GCCACCGUGGUGAAACUGGUAAACACUGGGGACUUAAAAUCCCCCGCCCUCACGGGCUUGGCGGUUCGAUUCCGCCCGGUGGCACCA
rnacentral:tRNA from 1 species